CCGUAAAUAAAGCUGAAUCCCUUAAAGGGUACGGAGGAACCAAAUUAUUGGGGUGAGUCCAUGAAAAUGGUAGGGAGAUCCUAUUGCCCGAGCCCGACAGCUAACUUCGGAAGCGAACUAUAGGAGGAGCC
rnacentral:sRNA from 2 species